rnacentral:lncRNA from 1 species
GUAAAAGAACCUGCGGAAAGGAAGAGGCACAUAGCAAUACAGAUGGCAGGGUGCUGACAUUUCUCACCAGGGAGGAAAUCCUGCGUAUCCACGAUGCCUUCUGCAGCUCCUGUCCCCAAGGGAAGGACUACAGGCAAGAGAAGCUCCCGGCUGAGCAAGUCUGCACCUGGCCACAGCUGAAGGUAAGAUGGACCCCUGCAGGUAGCCUGGUGGCCACCUGCAC